rnacentral:rRNA from 1 species
ACGGGAGGCAGCAGUGAGGAAUAUUGGUCAAUGGGCGGAAGCCUGAACCAGCCAAGUCGCGUGGAGGAUGAAGGUAUUAUGUAUUGUAAACUUCUUUAGACGUAGAGAAAUAAGGGGAUCGUGAUCCCUGAUGCUAGUAUACGUAGAAUAAGGAUCGGCUAACUCCGUGCCAGCAGCCGCGGUAAUACGGAGGAUCCGAGCGUUAUCCAGAUUUAUUGGGUUUAAAGGGUGCGCAGGCGGCCCUGUAAGUCAGCGGUUAAAUCGUGAGGCUCAACCUCAUCCCGCCGUUGAUACUGCAGGGCUUGAUUGCGGUCGAGGUUGGCGGAAUUCGUCGUGUAGCGGUGAAAUGCAUAGAUAUGACGAAGAACACCGAUUGCGUAGGCAGCUGACCAGACCGUAAAUGACGCUCAUGCACGAAAGUGCGGGGAUCGAACAGGAUUAGAUACCCUGGUA